rnacentral:rRNA from 1 species
ACGGUGCUGAAGUGACAAAUGCCCUGCUUCCAGGAAAAGCCUCUAAGCAUCAGGUAACAUCAAAUCGUACCCCAAACCGACACAGGUGGUCAGGUAGAGAAUACCAAGGCGCUUGAGAGAACUCGGGUGAAGGAACUAGGCAAAAUGGUGCCGUAACUUCGGGAGAAGGCACGCUGACAUGUAGGUGAAGCCCCUGCGGGUGGAGCUGAAGUCAGUCGAAGAUACCAGCUGGCUGCAACUGUUUAUUAAAAACACAGCACUGUGCAAACACGAAAGUGGACGUAUACGGUGUGACGCCUGCCCGGUGCCGGAAGGUUAAUUGAUGGGGUUAUCGCAAGAGAAGCUCCUGAUCGAAGCCCCGGUAAACGGCGGCCGUAACUAUAACGGUCCUAAGGUAGCGAAAUUCCUUGUCGGGUAAGUUCCGACCUGCACGAAUGGCGUAAUGAUGGCCAGGCUGUCUCCACCCGAGACUCAGUGAAAUUGAACUCGCUGUGAAGAUGCAGUGUACCCGCGGCAAGACGGAAAGACCCCGUGAACCUUUACUACAGCUUGACACUGAACAUUGAGCCUUGAUGUGUAGGAUAGGUGGGAGGCUUUGAAGCGUGGACGCCAGUCUGCGUGGAGCCAACCUUGAAAUACCACCCUUUAAUGUUUGAUGUUCUAACCUGGCGCCCUGAUCGGGCGUGGGGACAGUGUCUGGUGGGUAGUUUGACUGGGGCGGUCUCCUCCCAAAGUGUAACGGAGGAGCACGAAGGUCAGCUAAUCCUGGUCGGACAUCAGGAGGUUAGUGCAAUGGCAUAAGCUGGCUUGACUGCGAGAGUGACGGCUCGAGCAGGUGCGAAAGCAGGUCAUAGUGAUCCGGUGGUUCUGUAUGGAAGGGCCAUCGCUCAACGGAUAAAAGGUACUCCGGGGAUAACAGGCUGAUACCGCCCAAGAGUUCAUAUCGACGGCGGUGUUUGGCACCUCGAUGUCGGCUCAUCACAUCCUGGGGCUGAAGUAGGUCCCAAGGGUAUGGCUGUUCGCCAUUUAAAGUGGUACGCGAGCUGGGUUUAGAACGUCGUGAGACAGUUCGGUCCCUAUCUGCCGUGGGCGCUGGAGAAUUGAGGGGGGCUGCUCCCAGUACGAGAGGACCGGAGUGGACGCAUCACUGGUGUUCGGGUUGUCAUGCCAAUGGCACUGCCCGGUAGCUAAAUGCGGAAGAGAUAAGUGCUGAAAGCAUCUAAGCACGAAACUUGCCCCGAGAUGAGUUCUCCCUGAGACUAUAAGUCUCCUGAAGGAACGUUGAAGACGACGACGUUGAUAGGCCGGGUGUGUAAGCGCAGCGAUGCGUUGAGCUAACCGGUACUAAUGAACCGUGAGGCUUAACCUU